AUUUAGCAUGUUAAGUGAGUUAGAUUCUUUUGACAUAUAUUCUAUACUGCUAAAAUAAAAUUGACUCAUAUAGGACAGAAUGGAAUUACAUUUUGUGAAGUUAUAAAAUCUGAGCUAUGAUUCAGAGUGUGGGAGGAAGUACUGACGUUAUGAAGCUCAUAAGUACCUAGUAGUACUAAGCUCCAGGUUCCAAAAGUGGCAUAUUGUCACUAUAGCAACCACCAUGCUUAUUUGGAUUUGAAACCCAGGCAACGAAUGGUGGAUAGGACUAUAAUAUUAAGGUUGCAUUUCUCUGGAAUGACCACAGCAAUAUUUCCAGCCCUUGAUGAUCUUCUAGAACUUUGCCACUUCCCUGCAUCAAGAGGAGAACCCAGCCCCCAUAGUGUGAGGAGGCCUAGGACAGUUACAGAAGCCAUGUGUAGGUGUUCUGGCUCCAGCAAAAGUCUUAUCUGACAACAUCAACUACAUGUUAGUGGGCUUUCCUUGAAAUUGCUGGAGCUUGUGCAUCAUCAAAAUAAUGGCAUAAACCAAGGAAGAAGAAAACAAAAUUGAGGAAAUGGGAUCCAACACAAAAGAGAGACAACAGGAUUAAUUGAGUGUUGGUGAAAAGCCACAGCCUGUAAAUAAUGCAGUUCGAACUGAAAUAGACCAGGAGGCUCAAGGAGAGACUUCUUCAAGAAGAUAAAAUUGAUAGAAUGCCUAAGGAGUUUGAGUGCAUUGAGAAUAGAUUCAUAUCAGUUCUGGAGAACUGGGUGGAUACAUUAAUGUUAAGUACAUAGAAAAGUUAAAAAUGAAAAAAAUUCUCAAUUCUAGGGAAAAUAAUCAUAGUAAACUACAUGUUUUAGUUACCAAUAGUGUUUACGUAGUCAAUAUAAACAAUGGGCAUUGAUAUAAAUAAUGUAUGUUGAUCUGCUAUAACAAGGGGAACAGAAGCUCUAGUAUUCUGAUUGGUCUCUUUUUCUGGAAAUACAGAGGAGAGUAUAACCUCAUCCUGGAGCAGGGCACCCUAUCGUCAGAUGGUAUCAUCUUUAAGGGGUUGUCUCAGCCAUGCCUUUAGAAUUACCUUUCAUUGCUUGUCAUGCUGGAAGCUUCUGAAUGUUGCAUUUUGUGAUAGAAACAGUGGGUACCAUGGUCAUGUGCUCACAUCUCCUUUGCGGUAAAGAAAAGGAUCACUCAUUAACAUCCACCAGGUUUGUCUUGGUCCAUUUUAUGCUGCUAUAACAGAACACCACAGACUGAGAAAUUUAUAAGGAAUAGAAGUUUAUUUGCCUCAUGUUUCUGGAGGCUGGGAAUUCCAAGAUCAAGGGGCUGCAUAGAUUGAGGUCCUUUUUGCUGACUCAUAACGUGGAAAGAGAGUGCACUGCAUAGAAGAAAGGAGGCCAAACUCAUUCUUUUAUCAUGAGCCUACUCCUGAAAUAACUCACUCUCAAGAUAAUGGCAUUAAUCCAUUCAUGAAGGCAGAAUACUCAUGAUGUAAUCACCUCUUAAAAGGAACCAUUUUCUGGGUAGACAUGAAUACUUUAAAAACCAAGCAUUUAUACACCAAUAACAGACAAACAGAGAGCCAAAUCAUGAGUGAACCUAACCAGAAUUGGCUACAGUUUCUUCAAGAAAAUACCCCAAUGGAAGAAAAAAAGGUGGAGGGAGAAACUGAAUGAAGAAAGGAUGAUUUGAAAUUACCAGAAAGUGGAACGUGGAAAAAACAGAGUAAAACUAGUUUGAGAAUAAAAUCUUAG
rnacentral:lncRNA from 1 species